GCUACCAGUUUCCAGAUGACGUAGGAGUCUCUAUUGGGACCCCCUUGGACCUUCAGUGGAUCCGACUGGAGAUUCAUUACAGCAAUUUUAACAACCUUCCUGGUGUGUAUGAUUCCUCGGGGAUUUGCGUGUACUACACUUCUCAGCUGCGCAAAUACGACACGGAUGUCCUCCAGCUGGGCUUCUUCACGUUUCCCAUCCACUUCAUCCCCCCGGGCGCUGAGUCCUUCAUGUCCUAUGGGCUGUGUAGGACGGAGAAGUUUGAGGAGAUGAAUGGAGCUCCUAUGCCUGACAUACAGGUGUAUGGCUACCUGCUGCACACCCACUUGGCUGGACGGGCUCUGCAAGCAGUGCAAUACAGGAAUGGAACACAACUUCGAAAAAUCUGUAAAGACGAUUCCUAUGACUUCAACCUGCAGGAGACUCGAGAUUUGCCCUCUAGAGUGGAGAUCAAGCCGGGAGAUGAAUUGCUGGUAGAAUGUCACUACCAGACACUGGACCGUGACUCCAUGACAUUUGGAGGCCCCAGCACCAUUAAUGAGAUGUGCCUCAUCUUCCUCUUCUACUAUCCCCAAAAUAACAUCUCCAGCUGCAUGGGGUACCCUGACAUUAUCUA
rnacentral:lncRNA from 1 species